UACGUAGGGACCAAGCGUUGUUCGGAUUUACUGGGCGUAAAGGGCGCGUAGGCGGCGUGACAAGUCACUUGUGAAUCUCCGGGCUUAACUCGGAACGGUCAAGUGAUACUGUUGUGCUAGAGUACAGAAGGGGCAAUCGGAAUUCUUGGUGUAGCGGUGAAAUGCGUAGAUAUCAAGAGGAACACCAGAGGCGAAGGCGGAUUGCUGGGCUGAUACUGACGCUGAGGCGCGAAAGCUAGGGUAGCAAACGGG
rnacentral:rRNA from 1 species